CUCCUAUGCAAAGCUUUCCUAAGGCAAUUUGUCCAGGCACAACCCCCCACCCCCGGGGAUAAUGAAAUAUAUUGGCAAUCUCUCUUCGAUGUUUAAACCCCUCUCUCCGUGAAGGAGUAAGAUCUGAUGGCACGUCUACUAGUGUCACAGAAUUGGAAAGGAUUGAAACAUCUGUCUAUCUCCAGUUGGAAACAGAAUGGAUGGUCUAUUGCUGCAUCAGAGAAAUUAACAAAGAGAUUACAUGCAUUGAAUAAUACAAAUGAUGUAGACGA